CAGGCCUAACACAUGCAAGUCGAGCGGAGAUGAGGUGCUUGCACCUUAUCUUAGCGGCGGACGGGUGAGUAAUGCUUAGGAAUCUGCCUAUUAGUGGGGGACAACAUUUCGAAAGGAAUGCUAAUACCGCAUACGCCCUACGGGGGAAAGCAGGGGAUCUUCGGACCUUGCGCUAAUAGAUGAGCCUAAGUCGGAUUAGCUAGUUGGUGGGGUAAAGGCCUACCAAGGCGACGAUCUGUAGCGGGUCUGAGAGGAUGAUCCGCCACACUGGGACUGAGACACGGCCCAGACUCCUACGGGAGGCAGCAGUGGGGAAUAUUGGACAAUGGGGGGAACCCUGAUCCAGCCAUGCCGCGUGUGUAAAGAAGGCCUUUUGGUUGUAAAGCACUUUAAGCGAGG
rnacentral:rRNA from 1 species